rnacentral:rRNA from 1 species
UACGUAGGUGGCAAGCGUUGUCCGGAAUUAUUGGGCGUAAAGCGCGCGCAGGCGGCCUUUUAAGUCUGAUGUGAAAGCCCACGGCUCAACCGUGGAAGGUCAUUGGAAACUGAAAGGCUUGAGUACAGAAGAGGAAAGCGGAAUUCCACGUGUAGCGGUGAAAUGCGUAGAGAUGUGGAGGAACACCGGUGGCGAAGGCGGCACUCUGGGCCGGUACUGACGCUGAGGAGCGAAAGCGUGGGGAGCGAACAGG